rnacentral:rRNA from 1 species
UUGAACGCUGGCGGCAUGCCUUACACAUGCAAGUCGAACGGUAACGGGCCUUCGGGUGCCGACGAGUGGCGAACGGGUGAGUAAUACAUCGAAACGUGCCCGAUCGUGGGGGAUAACGAGGCGAAAGCUUUGCUAAUACCGCAUACGAUCUACGGAUGAAAGCAGGGGACCGCAAGGCCUUGCGCGGACGGAGCGGCCGAUGGCAGAUUAGGUAGUUGGUGGGAUAAAAGCUUACCAAGCCGACGAUCUGUAGCUGGUCUGAGAGGAUGAUCAGCCACACUGGGACUGAGACACGGCCCAGACUCCUACGGGAGGCAGCAGUGGGGAAUUUUGGACAAUGGGCGCAAGCCUGAUCCAGCCAUGCCGCGUGCAGGAUGAAGGCCUUCGGGUUGUAAACUGCUUUUGUACGGAACGAAAAGCCUUCUUUUAAUACAGGAGGGUCAUGACGGUACCGUAAGAAUAAGCACCGGCUAACUACGUG